AUUUUUUGUCCUAGAUGGUACGAGUUAUAGCUAACCUUUCUAUUCAUCCUGAAGUUGGGCCUGAAAUUGCAAAGAACAUGGAAAUAGUGGAACUUUUAGUACAAGUCUUAGGUAUGUUUUAUAUAAACAUUUUUGAUGUAAUGGAAACCUAUGUAAUGACUAGUAACUGAUCGUAGAACUUGUUUCCUCUUCGGCUGAAAUAACAAGAUACGGUUUCAGUUUUAAGAUAAGAUUUCUGUUUUGGUGAGCGGAUUUCCGAACAGGCUGUUGCCAAUUGAUAGGGGAUCCGAGGUACCUACGAUUAUAACGUCCUUAUCUGAGAAGACACGAAAGUCUAACCAUUUACUGAUGUCCAUGUAAAGGUAGCACUUUCUUCUCAAUUAUUUUAAGACCUUGAGUAGAGGUCCGAUCAAGGAUUGAACCCGGGUCUCCCAGCUUGAGAGGCAAGCGUGAUGACCAUUGAUUGGCUGCAUAAAGGCCCCAUGUGAAAACAAAUAUAGUGUGUACCAAUGAAUAAUUUUUCAUAAUCUCCACAAAUCUGUUUAGAAGUGAAAGACCUAACAAACAGCGAGGAAUUGGUCCUUAACACAGUUGCUACUAUCAAUAAUCUAUCCUAUUACACUGAAGAGAAUACGGCUUUAGCGACCAAACGUGGGACUAUAACACAAUGU